rnacentral:rRNA from 1 species
UCUUGGUCAUUUUGAGGAAGUAAAAGUCGUAACAAGGUUUCCGUAGGUGAACCUGCGGAAGGAUCAUUACCGAGAGGGAUAUGCGCCUCGCGGCCACGUCCCGGGGGGGUUCCGCCCCCCCAUCUCUUUAACCCGGUGUCUAUCUACCUCUGUUGCUUCGGCGAGCGCCCGGGUGCCUCGCGCCCGGGCCCCGGCUUCGGUCGGUGCGCUCUCGCCGGAGGCCAUCUUGAAUCUGUCUGUAGUGAUGUCCGAGUGUACCGAUUCAAAUCAAUUUAAAACUUUCAACAACGGAUCUCUUGGUUCUGGCAUCGAUGAAGAACGCAGCGAAAUGCGAUAAGUAAUGUGAAUUGCAGAAUUCAGUGAAUCAUCGAAUCUUUGAACGCACAUUGCGCCCCUUGGUAUUCCGGGGGGCAUGCCUGUUCGAGCGUCAUUGCAACCCUCAAGCCUUGCUUGGUCUUGGGCGUUCGCUUCCCCGUUCCGGGCGAUGCGUGCCCGUAAAUCAGUGGCGGUCCAGGGAGACUUCAAGCGCAGUAGUAUCUAUCCGCUUCAGAGGUCUCGCCUGUGGCCCGGCCAUAAAACCCGCAAUUUCCAAAUAAUGACCUCGGAUCCAGGUAGGGAUCCCCCCGUA